AAUCAUUUGAGUCCUUUUACUAAAGUUUUUAGCAUUUGAGUUUGCAACAUUUUAAAUUCUAUUUAUAUUAACAGGUGGUGGCAUGAGUUCUGACCCUGGGGCAUGAGAGGUAAUAUAAGGGUUUGUAAAACAUGUGUUUGUCCCAGGGGAGAACUAACUUAUUUUUCUUUUUCCAGCAGAGUUGCCACUGCUGUUUUGCUUGUAGUUCUUUUAGUCAUUGUUUUUAAUGUUUUAAUCAAGCUUGACGCCCUUGCUUUUAUCCAUUUUUAAACUGCUUUGUGCUCAUUUUUAGUAUCUUGGUGUCUGGACCUGGCUGAAGGUGGCUGCCUCCUCUUAUCCUUAUGGUAGCUGGUGCUCCUGGUGAGAGUUGGAUCAGAGAUCUCCCUUGGUGGUGUUUGUGGCUACCCGCCGGUGCAGUGGGGCUGAGGCGAUCUUGGAGGCAGCCGCCCUCAUGCAGUGUUGGAGUGCGGUCCAACUGUCCGAGCCUAUUUUAACUUUCUCUUUUAUGGAACUUGUGUCAAGUUUUUAAUAAAUUAUAUGUUUUUAACCUAUCAAA